GGGUGUGUAAGCUUGGCUGGUAGAGCAGUGGCCUCCAAAGCCGCCGGUCAGGGGUUCGACUCCCUUCGCACCCG
rnacentral:tRNA from 1 species